AGAUGUCAUGGUUUUGUAACUUCGCUAUUGGUAUUCCACAUCAUAACAUCAUGGACAAAAGAGAAGAACUACGUAUCCCAGAGGACCUCACGGUCAGAGAAGGAAGACACAUCACGGAAGAUACGUCAUCUGGUUGCGCGCGGUUCUUCUUCACUUUCGCUUGCUGCCAGGAGAGUGUGCUCCCAAGCCGGGAGUGCUUUCCCAAGCUUGGGUGUGCUUUCCAAGCCGGGCGCCUUCAUCAAGUUCCCAUUGCACUGAACUGAAUGGUGCUGUACAGUUUUUUCUCGUUAAUGCCAUCAUCAAUACUCAGAUCACUUUCUUAAGAAGAAUUAUUCACACUGCUGCCACCUAAAUUAAUGCAGCAUUUCCAGAAUACAUUUGACUGGUAUAUAUGUAAUCAGAAAUAAACAUUUUUGGACUUCUACCCUGGAUCUAUGAGAACCAGAGUAAUAUUAAAAAUGACAUGGUGAUUUAUUCAUGUUUCUUGAUUAACUUUUUACCAUCAAAUUUGUGACAGCUAAAAACUCUUUCAGUUUUGAUGAUGAUUAAUCCAUAUGAUGUGGCAGAUAUCCAAUAAGUAUGAUACUAAGUGUAUCUCCUUUACCAGUUUAUUUGCUAGCUGCUAAUAAAUCCAACUAGUGAAGAUCAGGUUUGUGGCCACCUGAGGAACUUGAUCACCUACAAGUCUAUGGGUCCCAAUGAGAUGCAUCCCAGAGUCCUGAGAGAAUUUGCUGAUGUAGUUGCCAAGCCACUCUUUGUGAUAUUUGAACAGUUGUGGCAAUCAGGAGAAGACCCUGGUAACUGGAAGAAAAGGCAGCAUCAUACCCAUUUUUAAUAAGGGUAAAAGGGAUGAUCCUGAGAACUACUGUCCUAUCAGUCUCACCUCUGUACCAGGAAAGAGAGCAGAUCCUCCUGGAAGCUAUACUAAGAUACAUGGAAGGCAAGGAGGUGAAGUAGGAGAACCAGCAUGGCUUCACCAGUGCCAAAUCCUGUUUGACUAACAUGGUGGCCUUUUAUGAUGGUGUCACUGCAUCUGUGUAUAAGGGAAGAGACACUGAUGUCAUCUAUCUGGUCUUCAGUAAGGCCUUUUACAUGAUACCCCCAUUACAUUCUUCUCUCCAAAUUGGAAAUAUAUGGAUUUGAUGGGUGGACUGUUCAAUGGAUGAAGAACUGGCUGCAGGAUUGAGUCCAGAGAGUUGAACUGACUAGGAAAUUAUUCCAACAACAAAGAAAUGGCAUAUUGACUUUUUUGAUGAAGAAUGCUCAUUACACUAACAGUAAGAAAAAGUCACUUUUGUACUGACACAUGAGUAUUGUUUCUUUGUGACAUGUAUUCUGAUACUUUCUUACUUAUUUGUGUGUGUCUUACUUUGGUAUCACUAAAACAAAGGAAAAUAAACAUCACUAGCUGUGUAAAGGAGGGUCAGCUGCGAUUUAGAUCGAAAGGAAGAAAAAUGUUCAGUGUAAAACUUCACUUACGUGCCCCAAACAUACCUAUGUUCAUGGUGAUUAUCUACUAGGAAAAACCACAGUGUGAUUGCCAAAUUUACUCCUCAAGACAGAGGGAAAAGGAACAAAAGAGUCAUGUUACUGUGUUUUCCCACCAGACUUUUCUGUCAUUUGAAAAUAUGAAAAAGCUUAUACUGCUUUUUUUGGGCAGUCUAAGUACUAUUCUCAGCUCAUUAUAGUGCUUAUCCUCCUUAUCUUUUGCAGCAGUCAGAGUUGUCAAAAUGUGCAGGCAUUUUUUCCUCAGCAAAUACGUG
ensembl:lncRNA